CAGAGCAACAGGAAUCAAGUUUUUGGAAUCAAGCCACAAAGAUUCAAUUUCAAACAUGAGGUCUUUUAAAACAUACCUGCAGACAAAGUAAACAUCACACCACCACACACGUGGCAAGCGCAACAACGAGCCAAGUUCCACCCCUGGCCUGCAGUGACCCGUUCCUGCUGGGCUUCCCUCCCUUUCUCCGAUUCAUCCUACAUGUGGGCCAUCCUUUCUUUCUUGUACUAUUUCCCUUUGUUUUUAACUUUCUCUACCCCUUGUCGCACGUCAAACACACAGAGUCUCUUCCUGCACCCAUCCGACAGGAACGUUCGGUAUGGGACAGCAGGACACAGGGGUGUAACCAUUAAGGGCACGAAACGCCUUUGCUUUUUUUGCCAAGCAGCACACAAAUGCUCGCAGGCUUUUGAUUUCUGAUAGGCCGGAGAAAUGCCUGUGCAUCAGCACUCUUGAAAUGAAGUGCAGAUUCAGCUCUCUGCAGGGACUGCGCUUUCAGAGGACAGAACCUGAAACACAGCACAGGUUGUGGGCGUAUUGUGGUCAAGAGGCCAGCGAGAGGAGCCGGGGACUGUUUGUGUAUGUGUUAAGACGACGUCAGAGGAACAGGUCAGUCUCAAUUUUGCUGGGGCUUUACACGAUGUCAGCACAGAGUGUGUCAAUGUCCCACCCCUGCACUGACUCACUGUUUCAGUCUGACAAACACGCGCACACCCUCUUAAGCCUUCACACACACCAUGGCCUCUCGCUUAACAGAUCUACCACAAUGCACAAGCAUCACCAAGUGCGAAAGCCAUCAAAAUCAGAGAUCCGAGCUGGAGGAAACCCAGGACUACUGCUUCUCCAUCACUCAGCCAGACACGGAGCAGAUGCUGAGGGCACCUGUGCGGGUAAAGCUGUCACAGGUCGACGUCAAGCAAAACCCCGCCCCCUGUCUCCAGAGCGAUUAAGAACACCAAGCUGUGGAGCACUAGUGAGACUCGUACACUUAUCUUGAUUUGUAAAAUGUCCCACGACUGAAAAUGCUUUUCAAAGAAAACCCACCAAUCCAUGUUGACUUUGCACUGGUGCCAUUCUCUGCAGACAUAUUUAAAUAUUGGAAAGACUGAUUAAAAAAAAUGGAAAACCAGAUCUGAUCAGUUCUCCAGAUAGAAAAGUCAGUUGAUAAACACACUUGUGUCCUGAUUGACUGAUGAUCCGAUCUGCUUGAUCAGAACACAGUGAUCGCAUGUUAAUGCCAGGUGCAGCCUAACACUGCAAGAUAUUUUUCCACUAAUAAUGUUUUUGAAGAAAUAUUUAGUAAUAAUAUGAUUGUUUCAUAAUCAUAAUCAAUAAAUAUAGGUAAACUGAAGUUCUUUGCUAGCA
ensembl:lncRNA